GUGGUAUCACAGCCGAGGUCUGAAGGACAGACAGGGAGAAAGAUGUGUCCGUGUGGGCCUGGGGUAUGAUGAGGAAUGGACACUGGAAUCCACAAUGUAAAGUAGAUAAUAAAAAAGAAUUGUGGGAUUAACUCUCUUCCUAAAGGAAUGAGAACAGCAAACCUGUCGUAGUCGUGGAAGUUAUGUUUUCAAACAAUCUUUAAUUUGAUGGGAUUAAAUAGAAAGAAAAUGGAAUUGUGAAAUUUGCAGGAAAGUGGAUAUUCCUCAAAAGUAUAAGCUAAAAGAAUUCAAACUCAGACAGAAAGCCCUGCACAUCCCCUUGGAUGCGAGUUCCAGUGUGAUGGAUACAUGUUCACGCGGGUCCUGCAGGCAGGUCAAGGCAGAUCAGAAAGACUGGUCUGGUGAGAGUAAACUUGGACUUGACCAUGGCUGCUGUUAUUUGGGACUGUUGCCACAUCCACAGAAAUGCAUGGACCAUGAAAGAGUCUGGGUGGUGACACCAGCAGGUCACUAAGAGUGUCACCAGAUUGGAGGAACUAGAAGUGGGAAGCUGUGCCUUCAUUCUUCUUGGUCAAAGACCAAAGCAUUCGUGAAGUUGAGGGUGAAUGAAAGAGAAGUAAAAAGGAAAAGAAAGACAUGACGGCUAUACGUACGCUGGAGGAGAAAGUUUGUCAUAGAUAUGUAUACCCAGAGGCAGACACACCAGGGAAGGAAAGGGAGAGAGAAGAGAGGGGAACCAGCUGCAGCAGCCAGAGACCGAAGAUACAAAAAGCAUGCGUAACCAAAAGGGUCUUCCAUCAACUUCUGGAGGGGAGCCAGGAACAACGGCAAGAGCUCGUAAUGGGGACUUUAUGAUAUUCCUCUGACCAACAACUUCAAACCACGGCCUCAUUCCUGGCACUUUGACUACCUCUGCUGUCCCAGAGGACAUCGAAAUUCUUUUUUAUACAUGUUUAUGUUUUAUGAAGUUUCCACAGUAGCAUGAUUCCACAUAUUUUCCCCAAAGGUCUCUAGUGUUAGCUAUCCUUCCAUAUACUCCCAAAGGUGGGUAUUUUAAAUAAAAAAAUUUAAGGACCUGCCCCUAGAGGCAA
rnacentral:lncRNA from 1 species